rnacentral:ncRNA from 1 species
AAAGACUUAGUCCUAACCUUGCUGUUAACUAGUGCUAAACAUAUACAUGCAAGUAUCCGCGCCCCAGUGUAAAUGCCCUUAAUUUCUUACUAAGAUGACAGGAGCGGGCAUCAGGCGCACUCCCCAACGUAGCCCAAGACGCCUUCGUUUGCCACACCCACGGGCACUCAGCAGUAAUUAACCAUUAAGCAAUAAGUGUAAACUUGACUUAGCUAUAGCACUCACCCAGGGUUGGUAAAUCUUGUGCCAGCCACCGCGGUCAUACAAGAGACCCAAGCUAACAGCACACGGCGUAAAGAGCGGGCCCCUGCCUAUCCUAAUAAUUAGGAUUAAAUCACAACUAAGCUGUCAUACGCCUAAGAUGUGCUUAAAAUCACCCUCAAAAUGAUCCUAACACUCACGAUCAACUAAAACCCGCGAAAGCCAGGGCUCAAACUGGGAUUAGAUACCCCAUUAUGCCUGGCCCUAAAUCUUGAUACUUACUUUACCAAAGUAUCCGCCUGAGGACUACGAGCACAAACGCUUAAAACUCUAAGGACUUGGCGGUGCCCCAGACCCACCUAGAGGAGCCUGUUCUAUAAUCGAUAAUCCACGUUACACCCGACCACUCCUUGCCCAAGCAGCCUACAUACCGCCGUCGCCAGCCCACCUCUUCUGAGAGUUUAACAGUGGGCCCAAUAGCCUACCCCGCUAAAAAGACAGGUCAAGGUAUAGCCCACGGAGUGGGAGAAAUGGGCUACAUUUUCUAAAAUAGAAGAUCUAUACGAAAGGAGGUAUGAAACUAACCUCCGGAAGGCGGAUUUAGCAGUAAAAUGGGACAAUAAUGCCCUAUUUAAGCUGGCCCUGAGGCACGUACAUACCGCCCGUCACCCUCCUCGUAGGCCAUAAGCCCUAUAACUAAUCAACCUGCAUUGCCAAAGAUGAGGUAAGUCGUAACAAGGUAAGUGUACCGGAAGGUGCACUUAGCAUAC